AUUUAAUUACUCUAAGGUAAUCACGGCUAUGAGAAUGAGUUGGAGCUAGCAUGUUUUAAAGUAGAAGGGGAAAGGUUAUCUCCUUGCUCUGAGUCACUACACCCUAUCUGUACUAUAAAUCAUUCUUUGGAGGAUAAGUGGAACUUGGCCUUGGCCUUAUGGGCUGGAAGAUUUGAAGCGUGCUGGCUGUGUGCCAGCAGGGAUGAAAGCAGGGCCUCAUGUUGGAGGGGUCACCUGGAGGAGGGGGCUCUGGACCCCUGGCUCACAUCUGCACUGGGACUGGCUCUGCCUUGUACUGGACCACGUCCACCUGCCUGCGAGAUUGGAUUGGCUGCAAGAAUGGGGUCAGCUCAGCCUCCCGGUAGAAUCUUAAUUACAAUUUCUUGUGUACCUGCCGACGUGGAAUCUGAUGGGUCUCUGCCUUUCUCUCCCUUCAAGUACACAGAAAGCUGACCACUGUCGGAUGCUCACGCAGCUUCAGCAGGGUGGCUGGAGAAGAAUUACAACCCAGAGGAACCUCGAGCAUGGUGGUUGGCCACAGUACUGGAAGCUCAAUAUAUGGUUUUUCUCAUCUACCUUGACAAGAAGAGCUCCUUUUUCCUAGGAUAAUACUCUCUCUCUCUCUCUAUAUAUAUAUAUAUAUAUUUUAGUAACAAUCUGACUUAUCUUUCCAACUAACUUUUGAAAGAGAGUGGCCAUCACUACGCUUUCCUCUGAGCAGAGUAAUGUAUCAGCAUGUGUUAGAUGUAAUCUGGGAACGCUUCCCUCCUGGAGGCCUCACGGGGUGAAGUGGGGAAUGUCGACCUUCAGAGCCUCGGUGGAGCAGACGACAUGCCUGGCUGCUCGGCUGGGCCAGGGCUGAGGCAAUCCUGGGUUUGCAAAAGGGUCCAAAACCAGAGGAAACUUUUAAAAUCAAAAAGUGACAGCACGUGUAGUUCAGAGGCCUCUGAGGUGAGGCAAUAAAUGAUGAGUGGUUUCCA
rnacentral:lncRNA from 1 species